GACGAACGCUGGCGGCGUGCUUAACACAUGCAAGUCGAACGGUGAAGCGCCUUCCUUUUUGGUGGGUGUGGAUGAGUGGCGAACGGGUGAGUAACACGUGAGUAACCUGCCCCCUUCUUCUGGAUAACCGCAUGAAAGUGUGGCUAAUACGGGAUAUUCUGGGUCUGUCGCAUGAUGGGUCUGGGAAAGAUAUUGUUUCGGUGGGGGAUGGGCUCGCGGCCUAUCAGCUUGUUGGUGGGGUGAUGGCCUACCAAGGCGGUGACGGGUAGCCGGCUUGAGAGGGUGGACGGUCACACUGGGACUGAGACACGGCCCAGACUCCUACGGGAGGCAGCAGUGGGGAAUAUUGCACAAUGGGCGCAAGCCUGAUGCAGCGACGCCGCGUGAGGGAUGGAGGCCUUCGGGUUGUGAACCUCUUUCGCCAGUGAAGCAGGCCUGCCUCGUUUGUGGGUGGGUUGACGGUAGCUGGAUAAGAAGCGCCGGCUAACUACGUG
rnacentral:rRNA from 1 species